AGUUAAUGAUCUUGAUUAUAAGUUUAUAUUUUGAAAAUAUAAUAAAGAAAAUAAAAAUUUCUAUUAACUU
rnacentral:tRNA from 1 species